GACGAACGCUGGCGGCGUGCUUAACACAUGCAAGUCGAACGGAAAGGCCCUGCUUGCAGGGUACUCGAGUGGCGAACGGGGGAGUAAAACGUGGGUGAUCUGCCCUGCACUUCGGGAUAAGCCUGGGAAACUCGGUCUAAUACCGGAUAGGAGCCAUCUUGAGGGUGAGGGUGGGAAAGUUUUUUCGGUGUGGGAUGAGCUCGCGGCCUAUCAGCUUGUUGGUGGGGUAAUGGCCUACCAAGGCGGCGGCGGGGAGCCGGCCUGAGAGGGUGGACGGGCACAUUUGGGCUGAGAGACGGCCCAGACUCCUACGGGAGGCAGCAGUGGGGAAUAUUGCACAAUGGGGGCAAGCCUGAUGCAGCGACGCCGCGUGGGGGAUGACGGCCCUCGGGUUUGAGACUCCGUUCGCUAGGGACGAAGCUUUUUGUGACGGUACCUAGAGAAGAAGCACCGGCUAACUACGUG
rnacentral:rRNA from 1 species